GACGAACGCUGGCGGCGUGCUUAACACAUGCAAGUCGAGCGAUGAAGCUCCUUCGGGAGUGGAUUAGCGGCGGACGGGUGAGUAACACGUGGGCAACCUGCCUUAUAGAGAGGAAUAGCCAUCCGAAAGGAUGAUUAAUACCUCAUAAUAUUGUAGCUUCGCAUGGAGCAACAAUCAAAGGAGCAAUCCACUAUAAGAUGGGCCCGCGGCGCAUUAGCUAGUUGGUGAGGUAACGGCUCACCAAGGCGACGAUGCGUAGCCGACCUGAGAGGGUGAUCGGCCACAUUGGGACUGAGACACGGCCCAGACUCCUACGGGAGGCAGCAGUGGGGAAUACUGCACAAUGGGGGAAACCCUGAUGCAGCAACGCCGCGUGAGUGAUGACGGCCUUCGGGUUGUAAAGCUCUGUCUUCAGGGACGAUAAUGACGGUACCUGAGGAGGAGGCCACGGCUAACUACGUGCCAGCCGCCGCAGUAACAC
rnacentral:rRNA from 1 species